AUUUUCAAUGGACAUCCGCUUCUUGUAGAAGAACGCUCUAUGUGCAAAAACCAUUAGAUGAGACCCUUUUCAGAAUUAAUAUUUUAGUGUGAUAGGAAUCAGGGAAGAUUCUUAAGGAAUGGAUAGUUUGAAAAUGUUUAUUUUAAAGGUAUAUAAACAGACAUAAACAGAAUUUUGACCAUUAUUCUACUAUUAGUUUUGAGCUUCUUUUAUAAUUGCGCUUUCUGCGAAGUUACGACAGUACCAUUACCUGUACAAACCACCUGAUUCUUUUAGACAAUAUGUUAUUUUUAUUUAUUUCGUUUAAUAACAGAAAGGUUAGCUUUACAAUUGUCAAUAUUAUAACAUUUAUUUCUUGAAGACAACUUACCGAAACGAUAUACUUUUCAAGGGCGUUGGUAAUAACAGUCGCAUACUUGACGUCUUCCAAUUUUACUUUUAAAAUAACGAAUGCUGAAGAGGGCUUUGGGCCGAAAUAAAAGAAUUCCGGAAAAUAUUGCCUUUGGGCGGGAGAUGGUAACAAAAAAGCACUAUGAGACACUUCUGAAGAUAAACCGUGGAAUGGAAUAAAACCGGUGUAAGAUGAGGUCGGAAGGGAGAAACGCCGUACCACAAGAAGAAAAAGUUACAGAGUAUCAGCAAAAACGUCAAUUUUUCAAACGACGCGGGGUUUUUAGAGUGUUAAACGUUUUCGUUGUCAUCGAUUUUGGAACAGGAAAUUAUUUACUUCCGAACGAAAGAGUCCUUCUUGACGUGAUAUAUGGAGACGGUUUUCUCUGAUGGACGACACAUGUAAUUUAAUUGUAUCCUUCCUCAAUAACUUCUAGCACUUGACAAAUUACACCUACAUCUGCCAGACUGCAAAUUGCACAUGUAGCAAUCGCUCGAAGAUCUAGAGCCGAAUGAGUCCUGGACGCCAGGAUCACAAUUCGCCUAUAAAUCAUGCCAUUAUUAGGCUAUUAUUCUGAAGAGAUGGUUGAGAUAUUAUGGCAUUAUAAUGUGGCCCAUACUGCUCGGAAUCGGGUUUGUGCUUUCAUGGAAAUCAGCCAGCGGACUACUCGCAUUAAAAUUGCAAAAUCUCUAUAAAUAUUAAACGUAUCCCUUGUCCAA